rfam:Ixodes scapularis strain Wikel colony gcontig_1107728613144, whole genome shotgun sequence.
UCCCGGUUAGGUCAGUUGGUAGAGCGCUCCACUGGAAAUGGAGAGGUCUCUGGUUCGAUUCCAGGACCGGGCG